rnacentral:rRNA from 1 species
UAGUCCACGCCGUAAACGAUGGAUACUAGCUGUACGGACUUCGGUCUGUGUGGCUAAGCGAAAGUGAUAAGUAUCCCACCUGGGGAGUACGUUCGCAAGAAUGAAACUCAAAGGAAUUGACGGGGGCCCGCACAAGCGGUGGAGCAUGUGGUUUAAUUCGAUGAUACGCGAGGAACCUUACCAGGGCUUAAAUGCAUACUGACAGGGGUGGAAACACCUUUUUCUUCGGACAGUUUGCAAGGUGCUGCAUGGUUGUCGUCAGCUCGUGCCGUGAGGUGUCAGGUUAAGUCCUAUAACGAGCGCAACCCCUGUUGUUAGUUGCCAGCGAGUAAUGUCGGGAACUCUAACAAGACUGCCGGUGCAAACCGUGAGGAAGGUGGGGAUGACGUCAAAUCAUCACGGGCCCUUACGUCCUGGGGCUACGACACGUGCUACAAUGGUAGGGUACAGAGAGCAGCCACACCGUGAGGUGGGAGCGAAUCUAUAAAACCUNU